UUCCGGGCUUUAUGGUAAAACGUGCAAACACCCGAUCCCAUUCUGACCUCGCAAAGUGAAAUCGUUUUACGCCAUAUGUACUGAUUUGUCAAUUUCGGGAGACAUGGUC
rnacentral:rRNA from 1 species